AUCCCAUGAUGAGGAUAGAAGAGGAUAUACUCUUGCAGUCUCUCCCUAGCUUCUAGGAUAGAUUCCAUCCCUGUCUGUUGGAAGCUUGAUAUCUUCCUGCACAGGGC